rnacentral:tRNA from 1 species
GCCCCCGUAGCCCAAUCGGCAGAGGCAGCGGACUUAAAAUCCGUCCAGUCUGGGUUCGAGUCCCAGUGGGGGCA